GGUCAAGUUAUUAAGGGUGCAGGGCGGAUGCCUUGGCACUAGGAGCCGAUGAAGGACGUGAUAAGCUGCGAUAAGCUUCGGGGAGUUGCACGUAAACUUUGAUCCGAAGAUUUCCGAAUGAGGAAACUCACUUAGAGUAAUGUCUAAGUAUCAUUAAGUGAAUACAUAGCUUAAUGAGGGGAACUCAGGGAACUGAAACAUCUAAGUACCUGAAGGAAGAGAAAGAAAUUCGAUUCCGUAAGUAGCGGCGAGCGAACGCGGAUUAGCCCAAACCAAUAAAGUUUUCUUUAUUGGGGUUGCGGACAUAUCAUAACGAAGAGGUAUCGUAAUUGAAGAGGUUUGGAAAGACCCACCACAGAAGGUAAUAGUCCUGUAUGUUAAACGAGAAGACUUUAGAUAUGAUCCAGAGUACCACGGGACACGUGAAACCCUGUGGGAAGCAGGAGGGACCACCCUCCAAGGCUAA
rnacentral:rRNA from 1 species